rnacentral:rRNA from 1 species
CUUUCUUUGCUGGCGACCGGCGCACGGGUGAGUAACACGUAUCCAACCUGCCCUUUACUCGGGGAUAGCCUUUCGAAAGAAAGAUUAAUACCCGAUGGCAUAAUGAUUCCGCAUGGUUUCAUUAUUAAAGGAUUCCGGUAAAGGAUGGGGAUGCGUUCCAUUAGGUUGUUGGCGGGGUAACGGCCCACCAAGCCUUCGAUGGAUAGGGGUUCUGAGAGGAAGGUCCCCCACAUUGGAACUGAGACACGGUCCAA